rnacentral:rRNA from 1 species
AUAUACGACCGUACCGCAAACCGACACUGGUGCGCGAGAUGAGUAUUCUAAGGCGCUUGAGAGAACUCAGGAGAAGGAACUCGGCAAAUUGACACCGUAACUUCGGAAGAAGGUGUGCCCUAUUAGUGUGUAGUGAACAACGGAGCAUGAAUGGGUUGCAAAAAAUCGGUGGCUGCGACUGUUUAUUAAAAACACAGCACUCUGCAAACACGAAAGUGGACGUAUAGGGUGUGACGCCUGCCCGGUGCUGGAAGAUUAAAUGAUGGGGUGCAAGCUCUUGAUUGAAGUCCCAGUAAACGGCGGCCGUAACGAUAACGGUCCUAAGGUAGCGAAAUUCCUUGUCGGGUAAGUUCCGACCUGCACGAAUGGCGUAACGAUGGCCACACUGUCUCCUCCUGAGACUCAGCGAAGUUGAAAUGUUUGUGAUGAUGCAAUCUCCCCGCGGAAAGACGGAAAGACCCCAUGAACCUUUACUGUAGCUAUGUAUUGGACUUUGAACAGAUCUGUGUAGGAUAGGUGGGAGGCUUUGAAGCAGGGUCGCUAGAUCUUGUGGAGCCAACGUUGAAAUACCACCCUGGUGUGUUUGAGGUUCUAACCUAGGUCCAUUAUCUGGAUCGGGGACAGUGCAUGGUAGGCAGUUUGACUGGGGCGGUCUCCUCCCAAAGCGUAACGGAGGAGUUCGAAGGUACGCUAGUUACGGUCGGACAUCGUGACGAUAGUGCAAUGGCAUAAGCGUGCUUAACUGCGAGACUGACAAGUCGAGCAGAUGCGAAAGCAGGACAUAGUGAUCCGGUGGUUCUGUAUGGAAGGGCCAUCGCUCAACAGAUAAAAGGUACUCUGGGGAUAACAGGCUGAUACCGCCCAAGAGUUCAUAUCGACGGCGGUGUUUGGCACCUCGAUGUCGGCUCAUCUCAUCCUGGGGCUGUAGCCGGUCCCAAGGGUAUGGCUGUUCGCCAUUUAAAGAGGUACGUGAGCUGGGUUUAAAACGUCGUGAGACAGUUUGGUCCCUAUCUUCCGUGGGCGCUGCAGAUUUGAGGAAGCCUGCUCCUAGUACGAGAGGACCGGAGUGGACACACCUCUGGUGUAUCGGUUGUCACGCCAGUGGCAUUGCCGAGUAGCUAAGUGUGGAAGAGAUAACCGCUGAAAGCAUCUAAGCGGGAAACUCGUUUCAAGAUGAGAUCUGCCGGGGCCUUGAGCCCCCUAAAGAGUCGUUCAAGACCAGGACGUUGAUAGGUCAGGUGUGGAAAC